ensembl:lncRNA
UUUCCGAAUGCACUGUAUCUUCUUCGCAUAGAGUUGACGAGGCUGUUGUGGCUUGUGGAAUCUUUUCCCACUCCUCUUCAAUGGCUAUGCGAAGAUGCUGGAUAAUGGUGGGAACUGGAACACGCUGCCGUACACGUCAAUAUAGAGCAUCCCAAACAUGUCUGGUGGUAAUUAUGAAGGCCAUGGAAGAACUGGGACAUUUUCAGCUUCCAGGAAUUGUGUACAGAUCCUUGCGACAUGGGGCCGUGCAUUACCAUGCUGAAAUAUGAGGUGGUGGCGGCGGUUGAAUGACACGACAAUCGGCCCAGAGGAUCUCGUCACGUUGAAACUGGGAUUCGUCUGUGAAGAGCACACUUCUCCAGCAUGCCAGUGGCCAUCGAAGGUGAGCAUUUAACCACUGAAGUCGGAUUCGACGCUGAACUGCAGUCAGCUCAAGACCCCGGAGAGGACGAGAAGCGCGCAGAUGAGCUUCCCUGAGACGUUCUUUUUACCAUUUGUCCAGAAAUUAUUAGGUUGAACUUGAGACAUCUGUGCAAUUUUGUUGUGUGACACUUCACAUUUUAGAGUGGCCUUUUAUUGUCCCCAGCACAAGUUACACCUGUGUAAUGAUCAUGCUGUUUAAUCAGCUUCUUGAUAUGCCACACCUUUCAAGCGGGUGGGUUAUCUUGGCAAAGGACAAAUGCUCACUAACAUGGAUGUAAACAAAAUUGUACACUAAAUUUGAAAGAAAUAAGCUUUUUGUGUGUAUGGAACAUUUCUGGUAUCUUUUAUUUCAGCUCAUGAAACAUGGGAAAUACUUCACAUGUUGUUUUUAUAUUUUUGUUGAGUAUAUUUGGUGUUUGCCAUGCGAGCUGCCCAAACUGCGGGCCUUUCCAACUGUGGGCAAUGCGAUUUAAAACUAUCUACAGAUAGUUAGGCCAUAUCAUUUUGGCAAUUAAAUUACAUUUACUUUAGAGGGAAGCCUUAUGGACAUACCACCUAUGCUAGCUAGUUCAUCUUGGACAAUUUCAGUUGAAACUUUACAGGGUGAGGUCUACGUACAUUUCAAUAAAUAUAUAUAAACUGACUGCCACACAAUGUUCAUACAAACAUUAGGAACACCUUCCUAAUAUUUAGUUGCACCCCCCAAGUAUACAAUGUAUAGUGUAUAUCAUACAUAUCAAUGUCAAGAAGUUUGUAUAAAUCACCUGUAUGGCAUGUCUCUUGAUGUAAUGACAUGAAAACUGAGUAAGAGUUUGGGGAAAUCCUUCACAUGCUUUUGUUCAGGUUUCAUCCAAAUACCAUCUAAUUUCAUGAAAAACAUGAUUUUCACUGUUCAGAACCCUUAAAAUGUAAAGGGCAACUGAAGAUUUGGUUCUUAAGAAAUGCUAGCAACCAUGACUGAAUUCAAAUGUGAGUUGGUUUCAGGGUGUGGUUUGAUGUGGGUGUCUCGUGUGUGCUCGCAAGUGGGAAGAGUUAGCCAAAUUAUUUUGCCAAUUAGCUUCAGCAGGCUGGUGUGAAACCGUGGCAAAGUAGGUUUAACUUCAGAUAGCCCAUCUCCAGGGCUAAUUAGUGACCGUAAAUAAAUUACACAAUGUAAAUGAGACAAUAUUUUCAUGUUGCACACCUUUUAGUUCUCAUUAAAUGCUUUAAAAAAUGUAUAGAUAUUUUGAGGUUUUUAAGUCAUUGAAAUUUGGAGCAGUUGGAAAUGUACAUUCUGUAAUUUACUGAUGGUCCCAAAUUUACCACGACAUUAUGAUUAGGUCGCAUUGAGCUGGACUCCAAAUGGAUGAUUACUUGUGUGCUGCCAGCUGUUGGUAUGUGGGCAGGACUGAAACAAAC